rnacentral:rRNA from 1 species
UACGGAGGGUGCAAGCGUUAUCCGGAUUCACUGGGUUUAAAGGGUGCGUAGGCGGGCAGGUAAGUCCGUGGUGAAAUCUCUGAGCUUAACUCAGAAACUGCCAUGGAUACUAUUUGUCUUGAAUGUUGUGGAGGUAAGCGGAAUAUGUCAUGUAGCGGUGUAACGCUUAGAUAUGACAUAGAACACCAAUUGCGAAGGCAGCUUACUACACAAAUAUUGACGCUGAGGCACGAAAGCGUGGGGAUCAAACAGG